rnacentral:misc_RNA from 1 species
GAUGAAGAACGCAGCGAAAUGCGAUAAGUAAUGUGAAUUGCAGAAUUCAGUGAAUCAUCGAAUCUUUGAACGCACAUUGCGCCCCCCAGUAUUCUGGCGGGCAUGCCUGUUCGAGCGUCAUUUCAACCAUCAAGCCCUGCUUGUGUUGGGGUCCUGCGGCUGCCCGCAGGCCCUGAAAACCAGUGGCGGGCUCGCUAGUCACACCGAGCGCAGUAGCACAUCUCGCUCAGGGCGUGCGCCGGGCUCCAGCCGUUAAAGCACCCACCUUUCGCAAGGUUGACCUCGGAUCAGGUAGGAAUACCCGCUGAACUUAAGCAUAUCAAUAAGCGGAGGA